UUAAGCGACUAAGCGUACACGGUGGAUGCCCUGGCAGUCAGAGGCGAUGAAGGACGUGCUAAUCUGCGAUAAGCGUCGGUGAGGUGAUAUGAACCGUUAUAACCGGCGAUUUCCGAAUGGGGAAACCCAGUGUGUUUCGACACACUAUCAUUAACUGAAUCCAUAGGUUAAUGAGGCGAACCGGGGGAACUGAAACAUCUAAGUACCCCGAGGAAAAGAAAUCAACCGAGAUUCCCCCAGUAGCGGCGAGCGAACGGGGAGGAGCCCAGAGCCUGAAUCAGUGUGUGUGUUAGUGGAAGCGUCUGGAAAGGCGUGCGAUACAGGGUGACAGCCCCGUACACAAAAAUGCACAUAUUGUGAGCUCGAUGAGUAGGGCGGGACACGUGGUAUCCUGUCUGAAUAUGGGGGGACCAUCCUCCAAGGCUAAAUACUCCUGACUGACCGAUAGUGAACCAGUACCGUGAGGGAAAGGCGAAAAGAACCCCGGCGAGGGGAGUGAAAAAGAACCUGAAACCGUGUACGUACAAGCAGUGGGAGCCUCUUAAUGGGGUGACUGCGUACCUUUUGUAUAAUGGGUCAGCGACUUAUAUUCUGUAGCAAGGUUAACCGAAUAGGGGAGCCGAAGGGAAACCGAGUCUUAACUGGGCGUUAAGUUGCAGGGUAUAGACCCGAAACCCGGUGAUCUAGCCAUGGGCAGGUUGAAGGUUGGGUAACACUAACUGGAGGACCGAACCGACUAAUGUUGAAAAAUUAGCGGAUGACUUGUGGCUGGGGGUGAAAGGCCAAUCAAACCGGGAGAUAGCUGGUUCUCCCCGAAAGCUAUUUAGGUAGCGCCUCGUGAAUUCAUCUCCGGGGGUAGAGCACUGUUUCGGCAAGGGGGUCAUCCCGACUUACCAACCCGAUGCAAACUGCGAAUACCGGAGAAUGUUAUCACGGGAGACACACGGCGGGUGCUAACGUCCGUCGUGAAGAGGGAAACAACCCAGACCGCCAGCUAAGGUCCCAAAGUCAUGGUUAAGUGGGAAACGAUGUGGGAAGGCCCAGACAGCCAGGAUGUUGGCUUAGAAGCAGCCAUCAUUUAAAGAAAGCGUAAUAGCUCACUGGUCGAGUCGGCCUGCGCGGAAGAUGUAACGGGGCUAAACCAUGCACCGAAGCUGCGGCAGCGACACUAUGUGUUGUUGGGUAGGGGAGCGUUCUGUAAGCCUGUGAAGGUGGCCUGUGAGGGUUGCUGGAGGUAUCAGAAGUGCGAAUGCUGACAUAAGUAACGAUAAAGCGGGUGAAAAGCCCGCUCGCCGGAAGACCAAGGGUUCCUGUCCAACGUUAAUCGGGGCAGGGUGAGUCGACCCCUAAGGCGAGGCCGAAAGGCGUAGUCGAUGGGAAACAGGUUAAUAUUCCUGUACUUGGUGUUACUGCGAAGGGGGGACGGAGAAGGCUAUGUUGGCCGGGCGACGGUUGUCCCGGUUUAAGCGUGUAGGCUGAUUUUCCAGGCAAAUCCGGAAAAUCAAGGCUGAGGCGUGAUGACGAGGCACUACGGUGCUGAAGCAACAAAUGCCCUGCUUCCAGGAAAAGCCUCUAAGCAUCAGGUAACAUCAAAUCGUACCCCAAACCGACACAGGUGGUCAGGUAGAGAAUACCAAGGCGCUUGAGAGAACUCGGGUGAAGGAACUAGGCAAAAUGGUGCCGUAACUUCGGGAGAAGGCACGCUGAUAUGUAGGUGAAGCGACUUGCUCGUGGAGCUGAAAUCAGUCGAAGAUACCAGCUGGCUGCAACUGUUUAUUAAAAACACAGCACUGUGCAAACACGAAAGUGGACGUAUACGGUGUGACGCCUGCCCGGUGCCGGAAGGUUAAUUGAUGGGGUUAGCGGCAACGCGAAGCUCUUGAUCGAAGCCCCGGUAAACGGCGGCCGUAACUAUAACGGUCCUAAGGUAGCGAAAUUCCUUGUCGGGUAAGUUCCGACCUGCACGAAUGGCGUAAUGAUGGCCAGGCUGUCUCCACCCGAGACUCAGUGAAAUUGAACUCGCUGUGAAGAUGCAGUGUACCCGCGGCAAGACGGAAAGACCCCGUGAACCUUUACUAUAGCUUGACACUGAACAUUGAGCCUUGAUGUGUAGGAUAGGUGGGAGGCUUUGAAGUGUGGACGCCAGUCUGCAUGGAGCCGACCUUGAAAUACCACCCUUUAAUGUUUGAUGUUCUAACGUUGGCCCGUAAUCCGGGUUGCGGACAGUGUCUGGUGGGUAGUUUGACUGGGGCGGUCUCCUCCUAAAGAGUAACGGAGGAGCACGAAGGUUGGCUAAUCCUGGUCGGACAUCAGGAGGUUAGUGCAAUGGCAUAAGCCAGCUUGACUGCGAGCGUGACGGCGCGAGCAGGUGCGAAAGCAGGUCAUAGUGAUCCGGUGGUUCUGAAUGGAAGGGCCAUCGCUCAACGGAUAAAAGGUACUCCGGGGAUAACAGGCUGAUACCGCCCAAGAGUUCAUAUCGACGGCGGUGUUUGGCACCUCGAUGUCGGCUCAUCACAUCCUGGGGCUGAAGUAGGUCCCAAGGGUAUGGCUGUUCGCCAUUUAAAGUGGUACGCGAGCUGGGUUUAGAACGUCGUGAGACAGUUCGGUCCCUAUCUGCCGUGGGCGCUGGAGAACUGAGGGGGGCUGCUCCUAGUACGAGAGGACCGGAGUGGACGCAUCACUGGUGUUCGGGUUGUCAUGCCAAUGGCACUGCCCGGUAGCUAAAUGCGGAAGAGAUAAGUGCUGAAAGCAUCUAAGCACGAAACUUGCCCCGAGAUGAGUUCUCCCUGACUCCUUGAGAGUCCUGAAGGAACGUUGAAGACGACGACGUUGAUAGGCCGGGUGUGUAAGCGCAGCGAUGCGUUGAGCUAACCGGUACUAAUGAACCGUGAGGCUUAACCUU
rnacentral:rRNA from 2 species